rnacentral:rRNA from 2 species
UACAGAGGGUGCGAGCGUUGUUCGGAAUUAUUGGGCGUAAAGCGCGUGUAGGCGGGAUUGUGUGUCAGGUGUGAAAGCCCUCGGCUCAACCGAGGAAGUGCGCCUGAAACUGCAGUUCUUGAGUGUCGGAGAGGGUGGCGGAAUUCCCGGUGGAGAGGUGAAAUUCGUAGAUAUCGGGAGGAACACCAGAGGCGAAGGCGGCCACCUGGACGAACACUGACGCUGAGACGCGAAAGCGUGGGGAGCAAACAGG